rnacentral:rRNA from 1 species
UAGUAUGUAGUUUUUGAUGCUCAGGAUGAACGCUGGCGGUAUGCUUAACACAUGCAAGUCGAACGGGAUGCUUAGGCAUCUAGUGGCGGACGGGUGAGUAACGCGUGAGAAUCUGGCUCCAGGUCGGGGAUAACAGUUGGAAACGACUGCUAAUACCGGAUGUGCCGAGAGGUGAAAGAUUUAUUGCCUGGAGAUGAGCUCGCGUCUGAUUAGCUAGUUGGUGGUGUAAGGGACCACCAAGGCGUCGAUCAGUAGCUGGUCUGAGAGGAUGAUCAGCCACACUGGGACUGAGACACGGCCCAGACUCCUACGGGAGGCAGCAGUGGGGAAUUUUCCGCAAUGGGCGAAAGCCUGACGGAGCAAUACCGCGUGAGGGAGGAAGGCUCUUGGGUCGUAAACCUCUUUUCUCAAGGAAGAAGAAAGUGACGGUACUUGAGGAAUAAGCAUCGGCUAACUCCGUGCCAGCAGCCGCGGUAAUACGGAGGAUGCAAGCGUUAUCCGGAAUGAUUGGGCGUAAAGGGUCUGCAGGUGGAACUGAAAGUCUGCUGUUAAAGAGUUUGGCUUAACCAAAUAAAAGCGGUGGAAACUACAGAACUAGAGUGCGGUAGGGGCAAAAGGAAUUCCUGGUGUAGCGGUGAAAUGCGUAGAUAUCAGGAAGAACACCGGUGGCGAAAGCGUUUUGCUAGACCGUAACUGACACUGAGGGACGAAAGCUAGGGGAGCGAAUGGGAUUAGAUACCCCAGUAGUCCUAGCCGUAAACGAUGGAUACUAGGCGUGGCUUGUAUCGACCCGGCGG